rnacentral:rRNA from 1 species
AUACGGAGGGGUUAGCGUUGUUCGGAGUUACUGGGCGUAAAGCGCACGUAGGCGGAUUGGAAAGUUGGGGGUGGAAAUCCCGGGCGUCAACCCCGGAACUGCCUCCAAAACUUCCAGUCUGGAGUUCGAGAGAGGUGAGUGGAAUUCCGAGUGUAGAGGUGAAAUUCGUAGAUAUUCGGAGGAACACCAGUGGGCGAAAGGCGGCUUCACUAGGCUCGAUACUGACGCUGAGGUGCGAAAAGUGUGGGGAGCAAAACAGGAUUAGAUACCCCCUGUAGU